UACGGAGGGUGCGAGCGUUAAUCGGAAUUACUGGGCGUAAAGGGUGCGUAGGUGGUUGAUUAAGUUAUCUGUGAAAUUCCUGGGCUCAACCUGGGCAGGUCAGAUAAGACUGAUUGACUCGAGUAUAGGAGAGGGUAGUGGAAUUUCCGGUGUAGCGGUGAAAUGCGUAGAGAUCGGAAGGAACACCAGUGGCGAAGGCGGCUACCUGGCCUAAUACUGACACUGAGGCACGAAAGCGUGGGGAGCAAACAGG
rnacentral:rRNA from 1 species